UUAAUUCGAUGAUGCGCGAGGAACCUUACCUGGGCUUAAAUGGGAGUGACAGCUGUCGAAAGAUGGUUUUCUUCGGACACUCUUCAAGGUGCUGCAUGGUUGUCGUCAGCUCGUGCCGUGAGGUGUCGGGUUAAGUCCCAUAACGAGCGCAACCCUUACCGUUAGUUACCAUCAGGUUAAGCUGGGGACUCUAGCGGGACUGCCACCGUAAGGUGAGAGGAAGGUGGGGAUGACGUCAAAUCAGCACGGCCCUUAUGUCCAGGGCUACACACGUGUUACAAUGGCCAGUACAAAGGGCAGCUACCGGGUGACCGGAUGCUAAUCUCUAAAGCUGGUCUCAGUUCGGAUCGAAGUCUGCAACCCGACUUCGUGAAGCUGGAUUCGCUAGUAAUCGCGCAUCAGCCAUGGCGCGGUGAAUACGUUCCCGGGCCUU
rnacentral:rRNA from 1 species